rnacentral:siRNA from 1 species
UGGGUUCACUCGCAUGGUUCCGA